rnacentral:misc_RNA from 1 species
AGGCUUAGUUGAGUUGAGUUGUGUGUGUGUGCAUAUUGAACGUUUAUGCUUUAUGUGUGUGGGUGGUUGACUUCUUCCUCCUCAGUCCUCACCUUUUUCUGUCCCUGGUGUAAUGUCAAGAAGGGAGCUCUCGGUUUAAAUGUAUGAGCAUGCAUCAUUUUUAGUUUGAAUUUCUGUCAUUGUGUUCUUAUAACAAGCUUUAAUUAAUGAAUUUCUGU